AUUGAACGCUGGCGGAAUGCCUAAUACAUGCAAGUCGAGGGAGAAUGUUGGAUUCGUCUGACAUGAAACCGGCGCACGGGUGCGUAACACGUAUGCAACCUACCUUUAACUGGGGUAUAGCUCAGAGAAAUCUGAAUUAAUCCCCCAUAAGACUACGACAUGGCAUCAUGAUGUAGUUAAAGCUCCGGCGGUUAAGGAUGGGCAUGCGGUACAUUAGCUAGUUGGUGAGGUAAUGGCUCACCAAGGCUACGAUGUAUAGGGGGUCUGAGAGGAUGAUCCCCCACACUGGUACUGAGACACGGACCAGACUCCUACGGGAGGCAGCAGUAGGGAAUAUUGGUCAAUGGACGCAAGUCUGAACCAGCCAUGCCGCGUGAAGGAUGAAGGCCCUAUGGGUCGUAAACUUCUUUUAUUAGGGAAGAAAAAACGGGAUGCGUCCUGUACUGACGGUACUUAAUGAAUAAGGAUCGGCUAACUUCGUGCCAGCCGCCGCGGUAA
rnacentral:rRNA from 1 species